rnacentral:misc_RNA from 1 species
AAGUCGUAACAAGGUUUCCGUAGGUGAACCUGCGGAAGGAUCAUUACCAAAUCCAAAAAAAAACUUUCUAUCAACACCCCAAUGUGAACUGAGAAUGGUUUCGUCCCUCCGAAUUCUUCUCUUCUUCGGAAGAAAGGGAGGAGGGAUGUUCAAACACAUUUUUUUUUCAACCCCUUUUCAACCAUUAAAAACCCAUUUUUUUAAUGCUGAAAGCAAAACAAAAAAUACGAAACAUGAGACAACUUUUAACGGUGGAUCUCUUGGCUCGU